rnacentral:rRNA from 1 species
GACGAACGCUGGCGGCGUGCUUAACACAUGCAAGUCGAAAGAAGUGGCGAACGGGUGAGUAACGCGAAAUCAACCUGCCCUUCAGAGGGGGACAACAGUUGGAAACGACAGCUAAUACCGCAUACUGAAGGAGGGGAUUGCGUCUGCUUAGCUAGUUGGAGGGGUAACGGCCCACAAAGGCGAUGAUCAGUAGCCGGUCGGAGAGAAUGAGCGGCCACAUUUGGACUGGGACAAGGCCCAGACUCCUACGAGAGUCAGCAGUGGGGAAUCUUCCGCAGUGGACGAAAGUCUGACGGAGCAACGCCGCGUGAGUGAGGACGGCCGUCGGGUUGUAAAGCUCUGUUAAUCGGGACGCGGUACCGGAAUAGAAAGCCACGUCUAACAACGUGCCAGCAGCCGCGGUAAUAC